GAAAACUAUUAACAAAUCCUGAAAGAGAGGAUGUGACAGGUGGGUGUGCCAAGAGGGGUCUGAUUUUCUACUAGGUAGCUCUGUAACCAAUCAAAAUUGAAGACUAUAUAAAUUAUG